rnacentral:rRNA from 1 species
AGAGUUUGAUCCUGGCUCAGGACGAACGCUGCGGCGUGCCUAAUACAUGCAAGUCGAGCGAACUGAUUAGGAAGCUUGCUUCUUAUGACGUUAGCGGCGGACGGGUGAGUAACACGUGGGCAACCUGCCCUAUAGUUGGGGAUAACUCCGGGAAACCGGGGCUAAUACCGAAUGAUACACUUUAACUCCUGUUAGAAUGUUGUAAGAUGGUUUACGCUAUCGCUAUAGGAUGGGCCCGCGGCGCAUUAGCUAGUUGGUGAGGUAACGGCUCACCAAGGCGACGAUGCGUAGCCGACCUGAGAGGGUGAUCGGCCACACUGGGACUGAGACACGGCCCAGACUCCUACGGGAGGCAGCAGUAGGGAAUCUUCCACAAUGGGCGAAAGCCUGAUGGAGCAACGCCGCGUGAGUGAAGAAGGUUUUCGGAUCGUAAAACUCUGUUGUAAGGGAAGAACAAGUACAGUAGUAACUGGCUGUACCUUGACGGUACCUUAUUAGAAAGCCACGGCUAACUACGUGCCAGCAGCCGCGGUAAUACGUAGGUGGCAAGCGUUGUCCGGAUUUAUUGGGCGUAAAGCGCGCGCAGGUGGUUUCUUAAGUCUGAUGUGAAAGCCCACGGCUCAACCGUGGAGGGUCAUUGGAAACUGGGAGACUUGAGUGCAGAAGAGGAAAGUGGAAUUCCAAGUGUAGCGGUGAAAUGCGUAGAGAUUUGGAGGAACACCAGUGGCGAAGGCGACUUUCUGGUCUGUAACUGACACUGAGGCGCGAAAGCGUGGGGAGCAAACAAGAUUAGAUACCCUGGUAGUCCACGCCGUAAACGAUGAGUAAAGGUGUUAGGGGGUUUCCGCCCCUUAGUGCUGCAGCUAACGCAUUAAGCAUUCCUCCUGGGGAGUACGGUCGCAAGACUGAAACUCAAAGGAAUAGACGGGGGUCCGCACAAGCUGUGGAGCAUGUGGUUUAAUUAGAAGCAACGCGAAGAACCUUACCAGGUCUCGACAUCCCAUUGACCACCGUAGAGAUACAGUUUUCCCUUCGGGGACAACGGUGACAGGUGGUGCAGGGUUGUCGUCAGCUCGUGUCGUGAGAUGUUGGGUUAAGUCCCGCAACGAGCGCAACCCUUGUUCUUAGUUGCCAUCAUUUAGUUGGGCACUCUAAGGAGACUGCCGGUGACAAACCGGAGGAAGGUGGGGAUGACGUCAAAUCAUCAUGCCCCUUAUGACCUGGGCUACGCACGUGCUACAAUGGACGGUACAAACGGUUGCCAACCCGCGAGGGGGAGCUAAUCCGAUAAAACCGUUCUCAGUUCGGAUGGUAGGCUGCAACUCGCCUACAUGAAGCCGGAAUCGCUAGUAAUCGCGGAUCAGCAUGCCGCGGUGAAUACGUUCCCGGGCCUUGCACUCACCGCCCGUCA